AGCAAAGGCCACAAUAGAAUGUGUUUAUUUUUCCAUGGAAACCAAGUCAUCUGUGUAAGGUACCUUAUAAAAACUAUCAAUUGAGAAAAAAUGAACAAUGUGAGAGUUGUGAGUCAAGUUUUAUUGGGGACAAAAUGAAGACUAUAGCCCAGAAGACAGCAUCUUGGAGAGCUCUGAGGAUCUGCUCCAAAGAAGAAGCCAGGAGACUAGGAGAAAGACCUGGAGAAGAUCUUUCCCCAGUGGCUUCAGAGGGAUAACAGCUCUGCCAGAACUUUGAUUUUGGACAUCUGGGUUCCUGAGCUGUGAG